UACGUAGGGUCCGAGCGUUGUCCGGAAUUAUUGGGCGUAAAGAGCUCGUAGGCGGUUUGUCGCGUCUGCUGUGAAAUCCCGAGGCUCAACCUCGGGCCUGCAGUGGGUACGGGCAGACUGGAGUGCGGUAGAGGAGAGUGGAAUUCCUGGUGUAGCGGUGGAAUGCGCAGAUAUCAGGAGGAACACCGAUGGCGAAGGCGGUUCUCUGGGCCGGAACUGACGCUGAGGAGCGAAAGCGUGGGGAGCAAACAGG
rnacentral:rRNA from 1 species